rnacentral:rRNA from 1 species
CCUGACUGUGAUUCUGGCUCAGGAUGAACGCUGGCUACGGGCUUAACACAUGCAAGUCGAGGGGAAACGACAUCGAAAGCUUGCUUCUGAUGGGCGUCGACCGGCGCACGGGUGAGUAACGCGUAUCCAACCUGCCCAUCACUUGGGGAUAACCUUGCGAAAGUAAGACUAAUACCCAAUGACAUCCAUAGAAGACAUCUGAAAUGGAUUAAAGAUUUAUCGGUGAUGGAUGGGGAUGCGUCUGAUUAGCUUGUUGGCGGGGUAACGGCCCACCAAGGCGACGAUCAGUAGGGGUUCUGAGAGGAAGGUCCCCCACAUUGGAACUGAGACACGGUUCAAACUCCUACGGGAGGCAGCAGUGAGGAAUAUUGGUCAAUGGGCGAGAGCCUGAACCAGCCAAGUAGCGUGCAGGAUGACGGCCCUAUGGGUUGUAAACUGCUUUUAUAAGGGAAUAAAGUGAGUCUCGUGAGACUUUUUGCAUGUACCUUAUGAAUAAGGACCGGCUAAUUCCGUGCCAGCAGCCGCGGUAAUACGGAAGGUCCGGGCGUUAUCCGGAUUCAUUGGGUUUAAAGGGAGCGUAGGCCGGAGAUUAAGCGUGUUGUGAAAUGUAGAGGCUCAACCUCUGCACUGCAGCGCGAACUGGUCUUCUUGAGUACGCACAACGUGGGCGGAAUUCGUGGUGUAGCGGUGAAAUGCUUAGAUAUCACGAAGAACUCCGAUUGCGAAGGCAGCUCACGGGAGCGCAACUGACGCUGAAGCUCGAAAGUGCGGGUAUCGAACAGGAUUAGAUACCCUGGAAGUCCGCACGGUAACCGAUGGAUGCCCGCUGUUGGUCUGAAUAGGUCAGCGGCCAAGCGAAAGCAUUAAGCAUCCCACCUGGGGAGUACGCCGGCAACGGUGCAACUCAAAUGAAUGGAUCGAAGGUG